GACGCACGCUGGCGGCGUGCUUAACACAUGCAAGUCGAAGAUAGUGGCUAACGGGUGAGUAAUACGUGGGUAACCUGCCCUCCUUUUUGGGAUAAGCCUUGGAAACGGAGUCUAAUACCGAAUAAAGGGGGAUGGGCUCGCGGCCUAUCAGCUUGUUGGUGGGGUGAUUGCCUACCAAGGCGGUGACGGGUAGCCGGCCUGGGAGGGGGACCGGCAACAGUGGGACUGAGAUACGGCCCAGACUCCUACGGGAGGAAGCAGUGGGGGAUAGGGCACAAGGGGCGAAAGCCUGAUGCAGAGAAGCCGCGUGGGGGAGGAAGGCUUUCGGGUUGUAAACCUCGUUCGCUAUCGAAAGGGUAGGUGGCGAAGAAGCGACGGGUAACUACGUGCCAGCAGCCGCGGUAAUUC
rnacentral:rRNA from 1 species